rnacentral:rRNA from 1 species
GUGGGGAAUAUUGGACAAUGGGCGAAAGCCUGAUCCAGCCAUGCCGCGUGUGUGAAGAAGGUCUUCGGAUUGUAAAGCACUUUAAGUUGGGAGGAAGGGCAGUAAGUUAAUACCUUGCUGUUUUGACGUUACCGACAGAAUAAGCACCGGCUAACUUCGUGCCAGCAGCCGCGGUAAUACGAAGGGUGCAAGCGUUAAUCGGAAUUACUGGGCGUAAAGCGCGCGUAGGUGGUUUUGUAAGUUGGAGGUGAAAUCCCCGGGCUCAACCUGGGAACUGCCUCCAAAACUGCAUGACUAGAGUACGGUAGAGGGUAGUGGAAUUUCCUGUGUAGCGGUGAAAUGCGUAGAUAUAGGAAGGAACACCAGUGGCGAAGGCGACUACCUGGACUGAUACUGACACUGAGGUGCGAAAGCGUGGGGAGCAAACAGGAUUAGAUACCCUAGUACC